GACAGAGGGUGCGAACGUUGCUCGGAAUUACUGGGCGUAAAGCGCGUGUAGGCGGGUGAUCAAGUCAGGUGUGAAAUCCCUGGGCUCAACCCAGGAACUGCACUUGAAACUGGUUGCCUUGAGUGUUGGAGAGGGAAGCGGAAUUCCUGGUGUAGAGGUGAAAUUCGUAGAUAUCGGGAGGAACACCAGCGGCGAAGGCGGUCAUCUGGACCACAACUGACGCUGAGGCGCGAAAGCUAGGGGAGCAAAC
rnacentral:rRNA from 1 species